GAAGACAAAAUGAAAAACAUCACUUUAGCAUUUCCCAAUACAGUAAUUAUUACGGGAGUUUAUUUCUGUGAGACAAGAGACGUUGUUGCUGCCAUGGAACCAAACAGGACUGUCCUGCCUGUUACUGGGAUGUGAGACUUCAGUCAUGUGACCUUUAUGUGUUACAAUGGGUGCUACCACCUCGGGCACAGACGGGGGAGCACCCUGGCGACCCAGGCAAUCCCGGCAUGAGGAAACCAAUCCUGAAGGGCCCAUCACUGCUGGGGUCUGAAGUGCCUACCCUACCUGCCAGCUGACUGUGCUCCCAGCUUUCCUGGUUCCCUAGAAUAAACCUGAGAUUCUACUGUGAAAGUCACAAACAACCACAAGGUGGUGCUAGAGGGCUACCUACUGUCAGAGAAAUGCUUCACUACCUCUAACUACCACAAGGCGGGGACAGAGUACAGCCAAGUGCCAAAUAAUUAAUUCACUACUACUUCUGUUCUACCUACUGUCAGAGAAAUGCUUCACUACCUCUAACUACCACAAGGUGGGGACAGAGUACAGCCAAGUGCCAAAUAAUUAAUUCACUACUACUUCUGUUCUACCUACUGUCAGAGAAAUGCCUCACUACCUCUGACUGCCCAAGGUGGUGUUAGAGUAUUACCUUUUAAUCUACUAUAAAUAAAUGUAAAGCAACUGGAAUUGUUAAGUAAUCAUUGAAGACUUUCACUACUGAUCCGAGCAGCUUCUUCAGUUCAACUGACUGGUAUGGGAAAUCCUCAGCAUAUGAACUCUUCCUUAGGAGACUGUUGGGAGUAUAGCCAGACUGUGCAUCACCAGGUGGCGCUGUACCUAUUUCAUUAUAUCUGCAGUUUCCAAACAGAACUCUGCGCAAUUUUUCUUUCAUGGGCAGCAGGGUAUAAUAUGCCUGUAUGAGUGCCAGGUAAUAUACACAGUGACUGCAUUUAUAUGUAGGAUCCCAUUUUGUUGUAUGGGUUAAUAAGGCAUUGAAGAUUCCUACUGGUUCUUCCUCCCUAGGCCGUAUUCCUUUUCUCAUUAAUCAUAUAUAUUCCCCCAAAAUACAAUAAACAUCAGUGAUUCUUAUUUAAUCAAUGCGUGGGGACCCAAGAUUGGCCAUGCCAACAAGUGGGGUGCAAAUGGGAAAAAAAAAUUGACCCGCACACUCAUGGCCACACCCACGACCCAAUUAGCCAUUCCCUAAUAUACUGAAACCCUGCCCACUAUCUACCCAAAAUCCACCCACUCCCUUCUCCAAGGCCACCCACUAGCAACACAAUGGGAGAUGGGAAUGGGAGAUGUAGCCCCUCAAUGCUUUCUGUGGCAGUGGUGGCCGAGGGGGAGGUGAUAGGCUGCAGUGCUGCCGGGGGGAGGUUUGGCUGUGGAUGUUAAUGGGCCCUUGGGUGCUGGAUUUUCCAGUGGGCCCCAGGUACCCCAGUCUGAUGCUGGAAGCAAUGGCACCCAAAAUAGUUGCAUACGGCAGUGAGAAGGGCAGAACUGGGCUAAUAAUAAUGAUGAAGCCAGUUUGGGCCAAACUAUCACCUGGAUCACAGAACAUUCUACAUUUAUAUAUUUAAUAAUGAUCAAAUCACAA